UACGGAGGGUGCAAGCGUUGUCCGGAUUCACUGGGUUUAAAGGGUCCGCAGGCGGUUUAUUAAGUCAGUGGUGAAAGCCUACAGCUCAACUGUAGAACUGCCAUUGAUACUGAUAAACUUGAGUAUAGACGAGGUAGGCGGAAUUUAUGAUGUAGCGGUGAAAUGCAUAGAUAUCAUAAAGAACACCAAUUGCGAAGGCAGCUUACUAGACUAUAACUGACGCUCAUGGACGAAAGCGUGGGGAGCGAACAGG
rnacentral:rRNA from 1 species